UUUUAUUCCAGAAGAUUGGUCCUUAAGGGGUUAAGAAGUUAUUGUCUAUCCUGCCCCCUAGUUUGCCUAGGGACAGAAUCAAUGAUUUGCCAUUUUAACAUGGAAAUUGUGUAUUUAUUAUAUGGGUCAGUGCUCUUCUGCAUGUGUUAAUAUUGCCUAUUCUUUUUCUUUCUUUGAAAUAAAAAAGAAAUAAAAAGUGAGAUUUUCU